rnacentral:rRNA from 1 species
UGGGGUAUUUUCCGCAAUUGGCGAAAGCCUGACGGAGCAAUACCGCGUGAGGGAGGAAGGCUUUUGGGUUGUAAACCUCUUUUCUUAGGGAAGAACACAAUGACGGUACCUAAGGAAUCAGCAUCGGCUAACUCCGUGCCAGCAGCCGCGGUAAUACGGAGGAUGCAAGCGUUAUCCGGAAUUAUUGGGCGUAAAGCGUCCGCAGGUGGCUCUUCAAGUCUGCUGUCAAAGACCAGAGCUCAACUCUGGGCAGGCGGUGGAAACUGGGGAGCUAGAGUACGGUAGGGGUAGAGGGAAUUCCUAGUGUAGCGGUGAAAUGCGUAGAGAUUAGGAAGAACACCGGUGGCGAAAGCGCUCUGCUAGGCCGCAACUGACACUGAGGGACGAAAGCUAGGGGAGCGAAUGGGAUUAGAUACCCCCGUAGUCC